AUGGAAAAUGUGUGAGCAAUGGAACUGGAUACUCUUGCCAAUGCUCUGAAGACUCUGCCAACCUCAUGAAAUCCUCAGUACUCCCAUGUUUUAAAAAAUGUAACCUUGGAUCAGAUUGCACCGAUCUUAAUAUCCUACCGACAAGUCCACCGCCGCCGCCUUCUUCAGGCAGCAAUGGAAGUGGACCACAUGAAGCUUCGAAUUGCGCAAGGAACAUUCGGGCAUUCUCCGUGAUACUACUGUCAGCAAUGUUGCUAACAUGGCUUUAGAGAGGGAGAGAGAGAUGAAGAGAAUUAUAUUGAGCUAGGGUGACAAUGACAAUCAUUCAUUCAAUAAUGUCUUACGGUUUUAUACUUGUAAUCUAAUCCCAUAUUGGUUAGUCAUAUAUGAACUGGAGUUUUUACUAGAAACUCAUUUUCCCAUUCACUAUAUAGCAAUC